UUUUGUAUUUUUAGUAGAGACAGGGUUUCACCAGGCUCUUUGGCCAGGCUGGUCUUGAAUUCCUGCCCUCAAGUGAUCUGCCCGCCUCGAACUCCCAGUGCUGGGAUUACAGAUGUGAGCCACCACGCCCGGCCCCAAGACGUUUAUAAAAGUACACUUUGCCUGACUGUGUUCCCUUAGUUGGCUGAGGAAAAGAUCUCGCAAGUAUUUUUUCCUCUGUGGAGUAAGGAAAUUUCUUCCUGGUUUGGGGGAAAGUCAUUUUAAAAAAAGACACUUGGUGGCCCCAAAGCUAGAAGUUAUUUCUCUCUUAAUGAACUCACUUUCUAUGAAUUAAGUCAAGAGCUUAUUCUCCUUAGCGCUCAAAAGAAGGCAUUGAUCUCCCUAUUUUGUAACUGCUCAGAAGGAAAUCUGUGUUCCUACAAGAUCCUGAUUUUUUAAAUGGGUCUGGAUGUAAAAAUGUUUGGCAAUGGAAUCUUGUUUUUGCCCACCAGGGUCAGUCUUCAACUCAUCAUGAUGGGAAGACAUUUCCUUUUCACAGUCGGCUACCAGCCUUCUUCUAAUUAGCCAAAUAGGGCAAACUCUUCUAUCUCACCCAUAAUUUUAAGCACAAGGUGAUGAUAAGAUAUAUUUACUGUUUUUAAAAAUUGAAUUAAACUCCUACCCUCUGAAAUUAAAAUUCUGUGUAAGAAGAUUAGGGCAAAGUAUUUGAUACUUUGUCCCAGGUUUCCAAAAUAUGACAACUCACAUUCAUAUACCAGGUAAGUGGAGACGAUAGGUUUUUUUUUUUUUUGAUAUUUAAUGAUGUAGCUUCUAAAUUUGGUAGUUCUGUCUUUGAGUGUGAACUUAAAAAUUAUGAAGAUGCGGCUGGGCGCGGGGGCUCACACCUGUCAUCCAGGCACUUUGGGAGGCCGAGGCAUGAGCCACUGCAUCUGGCAGCAACAUAUAUUUCAAAAGAGUAGCCUGGCCACUAGGAUCUACCUACCUACAUUUUUGGUGCAAACUAUUACUUUGGGGACAUCUUUCUUUUUUCCUUUUCUUUUUUUUUUUUUUAAUUUACAGAUGGGGUCUUGUUAUGUUUCCCAAGAGGCUCAAGUGCAGUGGCUAUUCACAGGCAUGAUCAUAGCACACUAUAGCCUUGAACUCCUGGCCUCAAGUGAUCUUCCCACAUAGCUGAGACAACAGGUACAUGCCACUGUGCCCAGCAGGACAUUUU
rnacentral:lncRNA from 1 species